AGGCUCUGUAGUGUGCAUGGAGGCACGUUCUUCUCUGCUGACCCUGCUACAAGGGUGCCACCAUCAGCACAUUAGCAGAUCUGUCUUCUGGGGACUCAUGGCCAGACAUCGACAAGGAAAAGAAAUGACCCAUCUACCUGGAACAAAACCAGAAGCACCCCCAGAAACAGCUGCAGAAGCUUACGAGAAUGUGGGCAGCAAGGAGUUUCCUGGAGGAGGCUCUUGGCAUCCCAUACACACAGCAGAGAACCCUCAACAUGUGGAAAAAAAGAUUCCUCAGGCUGGUUGGCACUGGCAGCUGGGUUAUUAUCGUGCCUUGAGAAAGUACUUCUGCACAGUAUUUUUCAUGUAAGCAAAAGCUGUUAGCACUGAAAAUCUUCCCAAAAAAGGAUCCUCCUGAGCUGGUCCAAACACAGAUACUGCUCCAACAAGCUUAAAUCCUGGGGGAGUGUCUGAAGCAUUGAAAUCUCAUGAGGACAGAACUAUCAGCUGGACAAAGAGGGCAUAUCCAGGGAUGCCAAACACAGGCAUAGCAGUUCCUUGACUUCAGCUAAUUACCACGUUCCCUUGAAGAAGGAGUGACACCUCUCCCAUGUUUCUCUGCUAGCAUCAUGAAAGAACUGAUCUAUGAGCUAUUCAGUGGUUACUUACAUCAUUCUUGUGUUUCCAGCCACGUGACUUGACCGCAAGGCUUUCAGAAGUGAUCCAGUUUCUGCAUGGCGUUAACCAUCACCACACUUGAGUCUUCCCAGCUGAGGAUCUAUUUCAUACCCUUCAGCUGAAAGACAUCUGCCUUAGGUGUCUUGGCAGACACUUCCAAUUUGUGUCCUUAUCUCACGGUCUCAAGCCAUCUUCAAAGGUUUUGCAGCUUCUUGUGUUUUCCAAGUUCAAAACCUUGCAGCCCACUGGUAUUGAAAAUGUGUGAAUGAACAAAAUAAUUGGAGCUGAAUGACAGUGUAAGUAUCAGCUGUCACUGCAAGGGGCGUUUUCUUCAUUUCCAUAAUGAGUUCAUUGAGAA